rnacentral:tRNA from 1 species
AACCCGGUGGUGUAACGGUAACACCAGGGAUUUUGGUUCCCUUGUUCCAGGUUCGAAUCCUGGCCGGGUUG